CUACUCAACUGGCAGGGGUGACACCACAGUCAUGAAGUUGGUUUUCCCAGGUGAGGCUUACCCAUUGCACCCGGGAUUUGCUGGCCCUGUGAUGUCCCCCAAUGUGGGAAACCCGACUGCAUAAUUUGUGGUAGUGGAGGACUCCACUCACCCCCUCCC